rnacentral:rRNA from 1 species
AACCUGGUUGAUCCUGCCAGUAGUCAUACGCUUGUCUCAAAGAUUAAGCCAUGCAUGUCUAAGUACGGCUCUAGUACGGUGAAACUGCGAAUGGCUCAUUAAAUCAGUUUUGGUUCAUUUGAUCGUAAACAUUUACAUGGAUAACUGUUGUAAUUCAAGAGCUAAUACAUGCUAAAAGUGAGAGUCUUUGAUUCUCAUGCUUUUAUCAGAUCAAAACCUUUCGUCUUCGGGCGUUAUCGUUGUGGCGAGUCUGGAUAAUUUUAGCUGAUCGCAUGGUCUCGAACCGGCGAUGGAUCAUUCAAGUGUCUGACCUAUCAACUUUCGAUGGUAGCGUAUUGGUCUACCAUGGUUGUAACGGGUAACGGAGAAUUAGGGUUUGGUUCCGGAGAGGGAGCCUGAGAAACGGCUACCACAUCCAAGGAAGGCAGCAGGCGCGCAAAUUACC